UCUCUUUCUGGGUUCCAGUGAUACAAAUGUUAGAUCUUUUGCUGCGGUCCCACAGGUCCAUGAGGCUCUGGUCUUUCUUCAUUUUCUUUUUCUUCCUUUCCUUUCCUUUCCUUCUCUUCUCCUCCUCCUCCUUCUUCUUUUAGUCUGUUUUCCCUCUAUUGUUCAGAUUAAGUAAUUUCUCUUUUCUGGUUCACUGAUUCUUUAUAAUGUCCCUUUUAUUCUGCUGGUAAGCCCAUCCUAAAAAGUGAGCUUAUUUUAAAUUUUUGUUUCUUUGUCCAGACUUUUUUUUUUGGUUCCAGAUAUGUUUGCAGUUGUUUAUUAAAGCAUUUCACAUUUUUAUCAUGAUUGGUUUAAAAUCCUUUUCAGGUAAUUCUGAUCCUUUUCAGGUAAUUCUGAUCUCUCUCAUCUCAGCUUUUGUCUUUAUUAUCUUUUUGCAUUGUCUUAAAUCUUUCUAGUUCUUAAUACAAUGAAUGGUUUCUGUUGAAACCUGGACAUUUUGGUGUUAUGUUCUGAGACUCUGGAUGUUAUCUACACCUACUGUUUCCAGUGUCUUUUUCUGUCACUGCCUUGGCUAGGGAAUAGUGGCUGCCUCCUUAUUACUGCCAAAUAGACAUAGAAGUCCAGUUUCCCUAGUCAGCCUUCAUUGACACCCAAAGGGAAGGGAAUCCUUGUUAUUGCCAAGUGAGUGUGGAAGUCCAGGCUCCCCUGACACUGCUAGAGUAGAGGUGGGGGCAUGUUACCAACCAGCAGGGUGGAAGUCUUGGCUCCCUACUUGGCUGCCCUGACAAUACCCUGGUUGGGGGCGGGGGGCUAGGUUUCUUCCUUACGGCCUCAUGAGGUGGAAAUCUAGGCUCCCCACUUGGCUCUUGCUUGUAUAGGCAGUGGUAGGGCCAGUGUUUUCUGUGGUGUUUGGCUACAGUAGAGUGGUUAUUGUCAAAAGUUAUUUCUCUUGCUAAGGCAGCCCCUUUCUCACUCCUUUAACUAGAGAGAGCAAGCUUUUGGGUGGAUUUUUUUUUUUUUUUUGUCUCGGCCAGUUGACAUUUCCAGGUUGCUGGAUUCUUCAGCUCUUAAUCUGGGAUAUAUUAAGCAUAAAGAAAACCCAGAGAAACUCAGCACUGUGUAAUUCCUUGUGCCCCAAGGUCCCUAGCUGGUCUAUCUUCUCUCUACUUUUCAGAAUCUUCUUAUGUUUUAUAUAUAAUAUCCAGAGUUUGUAGUUGUAGUUAGUGGAAAUAAUAGGGAAAAAUACUCCUACUCCAUUUUCCUAGAAGUGGAAGUUACCAAAUUUAUAUUUUUAAACGAUUUAAACAGUUGGACCAAAUAUAUAACCACUAUUGGGGAAAAUGUCAUACACUUUGUAUAUUAUAUGAUAACUUUGCAUAAUAUUGUGUUCACAAGGACUGCUAGAAAAUAACAUCUUUAUUUAAACUGAAAUUCAUUGUUCACAUUAUUAAUGAAAACUUUCUCUAGGAGAUAAUGCAAAAGGUGUCCCAAGGCUCCUGACCAGUGAACAAAGAUUUGAGAAAGACAGCCAAGCUCAUGUUUUCUCCUGAUCAAGAAAAUCAUCCAUCCAAAGCACCAGUAAAAUAUGGUGAACUCAUUGUCUUAGGGUACAAUGGAUCGCUCCCAAACGGUGAUAGAGGAAGAAGGAAAAGUAGGUUUGCUUUGUUUAAAAGACCUAAGGCAAAUGGGGUGAAGCCCAGCACUGUGCAUAUUGCUUGUACUCCUCAGGCUGCAAAGAGAAGUGUUGUGCUAAGCAGGUGGUGAGAGUGAGUGAAAGCUAAUGACCCAGGCCGAGGAGCUCUGUGCCAGAACUGCCCUUGCAGCGUGCUCUUGCAUUUGGGGUACGCCACUUCUCUGUGCAGGGUUGUCUCCCAUGUUGUCCCCAACCGCUAAUGCCAUGUAAGCCUGCAAAUCACAGCCAGAAAAUGCACCUACAUAAUUCCAGGUGCCCCUUUCACAGCUAAUACUACCUCUGGUUGAGAACCACUAGCAGAGGGAAAAUAGUUAUGAUCCCUAUUUCUAAAAUACCCUAUUCUGGCAGUCAUCUGGGAUAAGGUUGAACCCCGCCUUUCAGUCCAGUGAGAAUUUAACUAGACAUAGUUCUUAUUCUUAAUCUAAGACUAGGUUUAAUAGCUAAAAAGCCAGAGAUUACAAUCUCAAAGUACACAAAAACCUGUGUUUUUAAAUCCCUUUAGCCAUUAA